UAAUACGCACGGAUAACACAGUAUUGGUUCCUUUAUUUCUCCCCGCCCGCCUAGGGUUCCUUCGGCCUCGCCGCCCGAGCUGGCGACCGGCAGCGGCGGCACACCGUCAUCUGCCCGCCGACGACCACUUAUUGAAGCUCCUCCAGUUCUUGAUACGACAUCCUCCUGUUGUGAGCCCCCAAUCUCUCCUUCCCGUCUCCUUUCUGUACUUUCCCGUCCUCUCCUCCCACCCAAACGUUCCUCUCCCGACGGUCUUCAUCGACACAAUAGCUCGUUGUCCUGCGCCUACUACUCCUCGGGCGGCAAGCACCUCAGGCACGAUGGACAUGGCCUUUGCAAUCAGUAGGAGGACUGGAGGAGAUCUGGGCGCAUGACCUGGAUGGCCCAACGAUGCCAGAUCCGGUGGUAGAUCAUGAUGUACAGCUGUCGUCGAAACAGAUGAACCGCCAAAGCUGACCCAUCUUCGUUUCGCGAUUCUGGUGAUGAAUUCAACUCACCCAGCGGAAAAGCAGUUGGUAUCUCUUUGGACUUCGGCUGUACGUUCAUAUGGCCUUUGGCCUCUCACCAAUUCCUCUCCUUUGUAUCCAUUUUUUCUGCUAGGUGAUGAAUUCAUCUCACGAUUGUUGAUGUGCUGCAGGAAUGCAGAUGCACAAACUUUAUAGAUCUUACUUCUGUAGGAAUGCUAAAUUCUUCUGUUCACUAAACUAUUUGGUUGCAGAGAAUUCUAGAGAAGAGGAUUAUAUUCAUUACUUGAACAAAUGAACAUGGCGAAAAAAUUGCCAUUUCAGAUGAGGCUGGUGGUGGAAGCCUCUAGCAGCAUUGAGAUAUAAUUUCCAUUUCAUACAAGACGCUUUGGACUGAUAGUACUAAGCAGUGGUGACAUAUAUAUAGAGCUGAUUAAGAAGGUUACUGUGCGAGAUGUGAGGAGUACAAGGGAGCAAGUAUUCCUCUCGUGUGGCUAGAGUGUGAUGCGACAAACACCACAAUGGCUUCUUUGUUUACAGGAAGCUUGCGUAGAUGAGCUCUGACGUCAUGUCCAUGGCGGGUUAGAGUUCUGUUGUGAAAGCCCCACACAGAGAGGCUGGUGCACGCAUUGAUGACCACAACCUUUGGAGGUGACGCGGGUGGUAGCCUCUAUGUCAACGAGCUCCCGCGACACGCUACGGAUGUUUCGAUGCCGAGGUCCACGGAAGCUUGAUGCACCUGCGAACAGAUUGGAACUUGAAGCAAGGCGAGAGGAUGCCGUGUUCCUCACUGCGCGCGGCCUCGGCGUGCCUGCGUGUGGCAGUAAAUAGACGAGCCGCCGCCGCCGCCAACCAUGCCACCGCCAACCCCGACGGUCCCACGCACAGCCAGGUGUGCGUCCAAGUCCUAGAGUCAAGAGAAAAAACCUGCUCGUCCCACAGGAAGGUCCCAGGUAGAAGAGGGGAUGGGCGAGAGGAUGAUGUGUUCCUCACUACGCGCAGCCAGGCUUCGGCGCGACCUCGAGUUCCCUGCAUGCUCCUCAUCCUUGAUGUGACCCUCCAGCCAGCGAAGAGAGGGUGUGGGACGAAGAGGCACCAGAGGAGAGGGUCGAAAAUGGGAGAGAACGGUGGCACCAGUGAGAUUGACUAGGGUGAAGUGGCACUGGAGAAGUCCAGGGGUGGAGGCAAACACAUUUGAGAAUUUGGUAAGAGGAGAGGAAGAAGAGGUGCUAGAACUGGAGUAAGUGUAAAGUGUGCAGAUAGGGUAGGGUAAGAAAUUUCAUUUUUCACGUGGUUGGCUAGAUACACAUGGAGAUUUUUAUACUUGGGCCAUGGAUAUUUUUGUAGUUCUUUGUACCAUUGAGUUAUAUGAAUUUGUAUGAAAGUAAUUGAUCUCUCAAUUCUAA